rnacentral:rRNA from 1 species
UACAGAGGUCUCAAGCGUUGUUCGGAUUCAUUGGGCGUAAAGGGUGCGUAGGCGGCGCGGUAAGUCGGGUGUGAAAUUUCGAGGCUUAACUUCGAAACUGCAUUCGAUACUGCCGUGCUUGAGGACUGGAGAGGAGACUGGAAUUUACGGUGUAGCGGUGAAAUGCGUAGAUAUCGUAAGGAAGACCAGUGGCGAAGGCGGGUCUCUGGACAGUUCCUGACGCUGAGGCACGAAGGCCAGGGGAGCAAACAGG